UACUUUUGGGGCUGUUUCUGCUUUUGGGUCAAGAGUAUGGUGUUUGGUAAAAUCUCUGAAAGCUGCUUUUGGUUGAAAUUGCUUCUCCGUGAAGCUGAAUUUGGGAAGCUACAAUUUGUAGCCUCUGAAGAGCUGCUUUGAGAAAACAUGGAGCAACAACAGUACAGAGUUUAAUGAAAUUUGUCUAACUGCCAAUUCUGUCCUCUUCAUUUUCUAAAAAUUACAUCGAAACAGCUAAACCCUAUCUUUUCUCCAUCGCGAGGCAGACAUCUCAUUCCACAUCUCCUCCUUCCUCUUUGCCGUCAUUAUCAUUCCACAUCUCCUCCAUCAAAUUACAUUAUCAUUCGUAAAGGGUCAAAAGGAUUAGGCAUAUACCACUACUAGGGUCUUCUGGGUUAUGUUUCUUCUCUGCAGAUAGAAUCAAACGGAACCCAAUUUCUCUGAUUCCUCCAUAACUGCACAAAAAGGAGUAAGGAGAAUUCUUGUACAUCUCAACAUUCAAUAAUUCGAUCCUCAUCGAACUUCUCCUCCUUCUCUCUCUGUUAUCACUGAAAGAAUGUUUGAGUACAAGAGACAAAUGGAAUGGAUCUACUUAUGAAGAUGGAUCAAAAGAACAUCGUUCCAGGUCCUCGAUGAAGUUGUCAUCGGCAAAAGCAACAACUGGAUUUGGGAUCAUUUAUACAUCUUCAGAAGAAGAGGAGGAUGUAUGCUCAACAUGUCUUGAAUAAUAUACUCCAGAAAAAAACAAUGACAAAAUGCUCUCAUCGUUAUCAUCUUGGUUGUAUAUAUGAGUGGAUGGAGAGAAGUGAAAGUUGUCCUGUUUGUAGCAAGGUCAUGGCAUUCGAUGAAACGACUUAAUCUUGAUUGACGCAUCGUCGAUGAAUCCAGCAACAUCAGGAAGAUAGAAUACUAAAGAAAGUGAUGCCACUGUGAAUACCGCAUCUUAAAAAAAUAGUGUCAUCGAUAGUACAUAUAAACUUAAUUUCUGAUAACCGAUGUUGUAAGUACAGUUUAUCCAAAUGUUUUUCUCCUUUGGAAAUUUUUCUUUGGAAGAUAAAAUGUGAUAGUUCUUGCAAUUUUACUUGCAUUUGGCAAAAGUCAUUUAAGUAUAGCAUUGCACCAGUAGAGAGAAAACUUUAUGUACAACUUAUUUAUGUUACCAGUGUUCUUUC